AUUGAACGCUGGCGGCAGGCCUAACACAUGCAAGUCGAACGAGUGGCGGACGGGUGAGUAAUGUCUGGGAAACUGCCUGAUGGAGGGGGAUAACUACUGGAAACGGUAGCUAAUACCGCAUAACAUAGGAUGUGCCCAGAUGGGAUUCGCUAGUAGGUGGGGUAAAGGCUCACAUAGGCGACGAUCCCUAGCUGGUCUGAGAGGAUGACCAGCCCCACUGGAACUGAGACACGGGCCAGACUCCUACGGGAGGCAGCAGUGGGGAAUAUUGCACAAGGGGCGCAAGCCUGAGGCAGCCAUGCCGCGUGUAUGAAGAAGGCCUUCGGGUUGUAAAGUACUUUCAGCGGGGAGGCGUUACCCGCAGAAGAAGCACCGGCUAACUCCGUGCCAGCAGCCGCGGUAAUAC
rnacentral:rRNA from 1 species